GGAGAUAUAGAGUUACGACUACUAUUUUUUUCUAUGAUAGCUAAACUAAUCGUGAUGUGUCGGUACAUAUCUGUCAAGUGGAGUGUGCUAGUGUGCCACAGAGGUUGCAAAGCGUACUGUAAUCUUACAAUUCGUCCUUGAGUCCAAAACAGGUGUUGAUGUUCGGUAGUUCGGUAGGUUGUAAGUGUUGCAUAUUUAUUCCCGAAUCGAAACAGUGUUGUCGUUGUGUCUUUUAAAGGGAAACGUUCGUUGGCUUAUCAGUGUUCAGUCUUGUCAUUAAUAGCAAUACAAUAUAAUCUACAAUGUCUGUAGGAUGUUGCUUACAUCGGAUGAUGACAAACAUAGGCUAUGCUUGAAUGGGCAACAUAUGCGUAAUGGAAAUAUCAUGGACAUACAGUAUCAUAGCCUACGAGAGCAGGCUUUUAGCAUUACAGCCAAUACCAAAUAAAACAAGAAAAUGAAAUUACCAAGACUCGGGAAUGUCUUUGAUAAAAUAUCUCCAUGUAAUUUGAAUGUCUCAUUACCCGUUAAAUGGGCUAGAAUAAUUGUAUAGCCUACAAUUGACAGUGGUAGUAAUUAUUGGUAAUUAAUGGAUCUAGUCAUAAUUCCAUCCAAACACAUCGUCAGGACUACAUGGAAUUUAUUUUCCUACAAAACAUGCCUUCAAGACUAUUUCCAUCAUGGAGGAUAGUGUGAGCACAAUGAUGAAGACAUGGACACAUUGCAUAUAAUGCGCGUGGAUGGAAGAAAGAAGAACAGCAAAGUCCCGCCUCCUGGAUGCCACUGAGCCUUGUGAUGCAGUCUCCAUGACGACUACAGUUUCCUGGGUAACCCCGUUAAUAUUACCAUGGUAUCGCUCUGCGUUUUCACAGAAACCCUCCAGAUGGAUGAGCAGCCCGCCUUGAAAGCGAGAGCAGAGCCCUCCGUGAGUCUUAAUAUGUGGGAUGGAUAUUUUCACUUGGCUAGAUCAGAUAACCUCAUCUCAACCUACCAACAAGCAUCGCCCAACCAACACUGCUGCAGCAGAACACAUGCACCUGAAAGGUAGUGUACAUCUCUCUCGUAUUCUUCCUUUUGUUAUGUGAUGGAUUAUGUCUGCAUGUCAUUGAAAGAUGUAAAAGC
rnacentral:lncRNA from 1 species